rnacentral:rRNA from 1 species
CGCGUAGGCGGUUUGGUCAGUCAGAUGUGAAAGCCCUGGGCUCAACCUGGGAACUGCAUUUGAUACUGCCAAACUGGAGUGUGAUAGAGGGAAGUGGAAUUCCGGGUGUAGCGGUGAAAUGCGUAGAUAUCCGGAGGAACAUCAGUGGCGAAGGCGACUUCCUGGACCAACACUGACGCUGAGGUGCGAAAGCGUGGGUAGCAAACA